GAAAACCCUUUGCCCCAAAAGUAAGUUUACGCAGAGGCCAACUUUUUUGAACCUACAAGUGAUGGUGAAGAUUAGAAUAUUGGCAUAAGGCUUCAUCCAUUCUGCUUCCUUCUCGACGGCGUUACUAACCUCCGUAAUUCCUCCAAUCAAUUAUCCCCACAACGUGCUAGUGAAUGGCGAUUCUUCGGCUUCUCCGUUAAGACUAGAAUUUGAUAUAUAUUGUCCUUUUUCUUCAUAUGUGACUCAUUGUUUUUGGAUUUUCUUUCUCACACUAUACCUUGCCAAAUUCUAGCUCACUGUAAUGGCGACUUCCCAAGUAAACCCUUCCAAUCUGAAGAUUGGCCGUUGUAAGGAGGUUGUGGUGGCCCAUUUGUUUCUAUUUUUUGAAACUCGGAAUCUGAAGAAAAGAGACGAGCUUAUAUGGAGAGUUGACAUGUUGUUUGGACGAGAAGUUUCAAGAAUCUACAGAGGGAAGGAAGAGUGUACGAGCUCAGUUGUUCUGAUGUUGCAAGAAGCAACAUCCACUUCAAGCUGUGUGAUUCACCGGUCUGUGUUUGAUUCACAGAGCAUAUCAACUUUGUCGAGUUGAUGAACCCUACGGCUUGCAUUCCAAAUGAGAAGAAUUCAAACAUACAUGUCAACCGCUUCUUUGUGUUAGUGUAUUCGACAAGGUCACAAAUCUCCUCCAUGACAAGUUAGAACCCUUGAGUGGGGAGCCUAAAGCAAUGGUUGCAACAAACAUAAAUCCCAAAUUUGCUGGUGGUAAAACGGCUACUUUGUUUAUGUGGCUAUUUUGUAGUAAAGUACCAUUUUCAUGCUAGCUUAUUUUGUUAGUGCAUGUUUAUUCCUCAAUGCGACAUCAGCAGUGAUCACACUCUUUGACAACGAAAGCUGAGCCACGCAGGGAUUGUUAAAAGAGUUCUGUGGAGGUGGGGAUGGAUCCUUAACUACAUCCAAGGACGGUGGUGUUAAGAAACUUGAGUCAGUCACGUUCCAAGAGAUUAAUAGCUACUUUCACAACUCAACCCCACAUGUACAUCCACUUAGCAAGGCUGUGGAGUUCCUUUGCAAGGCUGAGGUGGCUGAUACGUCGCAUGUUCUAAGCGCAAGCUCCUUCAUUGAUUCACAUCUUUUAGCUGCACUGGAUUCAAUGAUGACAAUGCAGUGGGUUUAGUCAGAUGGUCGGUAGAAGAGGUCACUGAUGCAGCUCUUUUGUCACAAUUGACGAGGAAAUCACCUAACUUUCUUUAGGUGGGGAAUCAGAGUUAGGUUUAAGGCCUAUUGUGUUGGAUUCCACUUCGUACACAAUAAACACAUUUAAUGUUCUUUAUUUCAUUAUUGAAUUUGAUAUGCCAUUCAAAAAGUGAAACUAUAUACAAAUUUGAGGUAAGUAUAGCAAAAUACUAUAACUUAGCUUUUUUAUACGCAGAAGAAGAAAAGGUUCAAAUCACUGAACAUUAUGAAACCAGACAUUAGCCGAAACAAGUUGCAAAAACAUAAACAAGAUAGAUCACACAAAAUUCAUGUUACUUAAAAAUUGAAAUAUCUUCAUGUUAUAUAAGCUACUUAAAAAUCGAAAUAUCUUGCUAUUAUAUAACCGAUAUCUAAUCAUAUAAAGUAAAAUUCAUAAAAUAUUUUUAAAAAUAAAUAAAUUUAUGGUUUUUAGUAUAAAACUGAAUGAGCUACAGAAAAGCAAUGGUAUAUAAACUAAAAAACCGAAAAAAUCAAAUUGAAACCGAACCGAUAUCCGGAUUGAACACCCCUACUUCCUCUACCUAUCAAAAUAUUUAGACAACAAUUUGACACAAUACCAGUGGUUAACUAUCAAACUACAUCCCGCGCGUAGCGCAGACACACCACUAGUAAGUUAUAUAACCAAAAAAAAGGGCGAUUACUCCCCAUUUUAUUUCCAAUUUUUCAGCCAGACAUGCCGCACGGAUAGCGAGUUUCCGAAUGGGUGAUUGGUUGGACUUUAUCUCCUUACUUUAGCUUUAUUUACUUUUAAAUCAUUAAAUUUUAUCAAUCAUGUUGUACAUUUAUUUUUAAUAGUUAAAGCCUAAAUCAAGUUUUUAUAAACUUUUACCAAUCAUGCUUUAGCUUUAUUUUUAAAGCUACAGCAAAAAAAAAUUAAAGCAAAUUUUUUUUUAAUGUAUUUUAGGUAAAAAACCUAAAGCUUUCUUUUAUAUGCUGUAGAAUCUGUGAAAUAAAAAAACUGUUUAUAAUAUCAAAUAAAUUAGAUAAUAAUAAUUAAAAACAUCUAUAAAUAUUUAAUUCAAUUUUGGGUGUUGUAAAAAUUAUUGAAAUAUUUUAAAUAAAAUAUAUAUUAUUUACAUAUCACAUUUUAAAUAAUAAUAAAAUUUGAGAAUUUAUAAAAAAUAUUAAUAUAAAUUAUUUAAUUGAUAAAAAAAUAAUUAUUUUAUAUAUACAUCAGAGAUUUCACAUAUUUUAUUUUAAAAUAUCUACAGCCUAUAAUUUACAGCUACAACAAAUUUAAUUACAACAAAAGUUUCUGCAAAAAAAUCUACAAUAACAAAUUUACAGCUACAACCAAUUUACCUACAACUAAAUUUUUACGACUAAAUUUUUAGAAGCACGGUCGAACCAAUGAUGACGAUAAGUUUCAAAGUGU